rnacentral:rRNA from 1 species
GAUGAACGCUGGCGGCGUGCCUAAUACAUGCAAGUCGAGCGAACAGACGAGGAGCUUGCUCCUCUGACGUUAGCGGCGGACGGGUGAGUAACACGUGGAUAACCUACCUAUAAGACUGGGAUAACUUCGGGAAACCGGAGCUAAUACCGGAUAAUAUAUUGAACCGCAUGGUUCAAUAGUGAAAGACGGAUUUGCUGUCACUUAUAGAUGGAUCCGCGCCGCAUUAGCUAGUUGGUAAGGUAACGGCUUACCAAGGCGACGAUGCGUAGCCGACCUGGGAGGGUGAUCGGCCACACUGGAACUGAGACACGGUCCAGACUCCUACGGGAGGCAGCAGUAGGGAAUCUUCCGCAAUGGGCGAAAGCCUGACGGAGCAACGCCGCGUGAGUGAUGAAGGUCUUCGGAUCGUAAAACUCUGUUAUUAGGGAAGAACAAAUGUGUAAGUAACUAUGCACGUCUUGACGGUACCUAAUCAGAAAGCCACGGCUAACUACGUG